rnacentral:rRNA from 1 species
AAAUUGAAGAGUUUGAUCAUGGCUCAGAUUGAACGCUGGCGGCAGGCCUAACACAUGCAAGUCGAACGGUAACAGGAAGCAGCUUGCUGCUUCGCUGACGAGUGGCGGACGGGUGAGUAAUGUCUGGGAAACUGCCUGAUGGAGGGGGAUAACUACUGGAAACGGUAGCUAAUACCGCAUAAUGUCGCAAGACCAAAGAGGGGGACCUUCGGGCCUCUUGCCAUCGGAUGUGCCCAGAUGGGAUUAGCUUGUUGGUGGGGUAACGGCUCACCAAGGCGACGAUCCCUAGCUGGUCUGAGAGGAUGACCAGCCACACUGGAACUGAGACACGGUCCAGACUCCUACGGGAGGCAGCAGUGGGGAAUAUUGCACAAUGGGCGCAAGCCUGAUGCAGCCAUGCCGCGUGUAUGAAGAAGGCCUUCGGGUUGUAAAGUACUUUCAGCGGGGAGGAAGGGAGUAAAGUUAAUACCUUUGCUCAUUGACG